rnacentral:rRNA from 1 species
AGAACGAACGCUGGCGGCAUGCCUAAUACAUGCAAGUCGAACGAACUCUUCGGAGUUAGUGGCGCACGGGUGCGUAACGCGUGGGAAUCUGCCCCUUGGUUCGGAAUAACAGUUGGAAACGACUGCUAAUACCGGAUGAUGACGAAAGUCCAAAGAUUUAUCGCCAAGGGAUGAGCCCGCGUAGGAUUAGCUAGUUGGUGAGGUAAAGGCUCACCAAGGCAACGAUCCUUAGCUGGUCUGAGAGGAUGAUCAGCCACGCUGGGACUGAGACACGGCCCAGACUCCUACGGGAGCAGCAGUAGGGAAUAUGGACAAUGGGACAAAGCUGAUCCAGCAAGUGACCGCGUGAAGUGAAGUGGAACGGCCUUAAGGGUUGUAAAGCUU